GACGAACGCUGGCGGCGUGCCUAACACAUGCAAGUCGAGCGGAAAGGCCCCUUCGGGAGUACUCGAGCGGCGAACGGGUGAGUAACACGUGGGUAACCUGCCCUUGGCUCUGGGAUAACCCCGGGAAACCGAGGCUAAUACCGGAUACGACACGCGACCGCAUGGUCUGCGUGUGGAAAGGAUUCCGGCCAGGGAUGGACUCGCGGCCUAUCAGCUAGUUGGUGAGGUAACGGCCCACCAAGGCGACGACGGGUAGCCGGCCUGAGAGGGCGACCGGCCACACUGGGACUGAGACACGGCCCAGACUCCUACGGGAGGCAGCAGUGGGGAAUAUUGCGCAAUGGGCGAAAGCCUGACGCAGCAACGCCGCGUGAGGGAUGACGGCCUUCGGGUUGUAAACCUCUUUCAGCUCCGACGAAGCCUUCGGGUGACUGUAGGAGCAGAAGAAGCACCGGCUAACUACGUGCCAGCAGCCGCGGUAAUACGUAGGGUGCGAGCGUUGUCCGGAAUUAUUGGGCGUAAAGAGCUCGUAGGCGGCCUGUUGCGUCUGCCGUGAAAGCCCGGGGCUUAACCCCGGGUCUGCGGUGGAUACGGGCAGGCUAGAGUUCGGCAGGGGAGACUGGAAUUCCUGGUGUAGCGGUGAAAUGCGCAGAUAUCAGGAGGAACACCGGUGGCGAAGGCGGGUCUCUGGGCCGAUACUGACGCUGAGGAGCGAAAGCGUGGGGAGCGAACAGGAUUAGAUACCCUGGUAGUCCACGCCGUAAACGUUGGGCGCUAGGUGUGGG
rnacentral:rRNA from 1 species